rnacentral:rRNA from 1 species
UACGUAGGGUCCGAGCGUUGUCCGGAAUUAUUGGGCGUAAAGAGCUCGUAGGCGGCUUGUUGCGUCGACUGUGAAAACCCGCGGCUUAACCGCGGGCUUGCAGUUGAUACGGGCAGGCUAGAGUUCGGUAGGGGAGACUGGAAUUCCUGGUGUAGCGGUGAAAUGCGCAGAUAUCAGGAGGAACACCGGUGGCGAAGGCGGGUCUCUGGGCCGAUACUGACGCUGAGGAGCGAAAGCGUGGGGAGCGAACAGG